UUGUGUAUGCCAUUUUGCACUGAUAUUGAUAUUAUUAGCUUCCCUGUGCAGUUUUUCAGGCAUCCUACUUUUCUUUUGCUGCUUUUUUUUUUUCAUUUUUUGAUUUUUGCUUUUUGGGUGAAGAACUGUUUGUUAAAAAUCAUAUUACUUCUCUGAUUCGCAGAUUGCUAUGACCCCUUGGAUCCAAAUGGUAAUGUGACAGCUACCUUCAACAUUCUCCAAUGGACGGUUGAUGGCUACGUGAUAAGUCUACAAACCUCUUGGGUAGAACUCACCUUUGAAAAGAGGCAUGCAAGAGGAGGAUGCUCAAGAGGCAACCGACGUCCUAGUGGCCCAUUAUUCCCAGCUAGGUGACCCUAUCUCUUAGAAGUUACAACCCUGCACAGGUUGCUCCAUUCGUGACUCGACCACUGAGUAGCAACCCAUGUGAUCCCAUACUUGCGUAGGUUGUGUCUGAUCCCAGACUCAACGUGGUGGCUAGCUCUGAUACCAAAUAAUAUGAACCCUUAGUUUGAAACAGACUGUGGUUGAAAGCACCCUGUCAAUGAAUGAAGAUCUUUUGAAUAGAAAAUACACAAGCAUUGAGUAUACACAAGCAUUGACACAAGCAUUGAAAGCACCCUGUCUUUGGAAUCUCUCUCCCAGAUCAGCAGGAGUACAAGUUGCUAGUAGUGCUACUACAUCAAAGAGAAGACGAAACGACCUUAAUGACAAUGACUAUGAUGCAGCAGAAAGAUCCAGUGGAAGUCCUGGAAUUGAUGAUCAAGAGGACCUCCUCCACCUCAACAGCAAAAGGCUUAGGUAAGUAUCUCUUAUAACUAAGUUACAGUUUACUCCAAAUAAAAAUGU